rnacentral:rRNA from 1 species
UACGUAGGUGGCAAGCGUUAUCCGGAAUUAUUGGGCGUAAAGAGCGCGCAGGUGGUUGAUUAAGUCUGAUGUGAAAGCCCACGGCUUAACCGUGGAGGGGCAUUGGAAACUGGUCGACUUGAGUGCAGAAGAGGGAAGUGGAAUUCUAUGUGUAGCGGUGAAAUGCGUAGAGAUAUGGAGGAACACCAGUGGCGAAGGCGGCUUCCUGGUCUGUAACUGACACUGAGGCGCGAAAGCGUGGGGAACAAACAGGAUUAGAUACCCGGGUA